CCUACGGGUGGCAGCAGUGGGGAAUAUUGGUCAAUGGGCGCGAGCCUGACCCAGCAACGCCGCGUGAAGGAAGACGGCCCUCCGGUUUUUAACUUCUUUUUUCAGGGACGAAACAAGUGACGGUACCUGACGAAUAAGCCACGGCCAACGACGUGACAUCAGCCGCGGUAAUACGUAGGUGGCAAGCGUUAUCCGGGUUUACUGGGUGUAAAGGGCGUGUAGGGGGGGAAGCAAGUCAGAUGUGAAAGUGCAGGGCUCAAACCUCGAACUGCAUUUGAAACUGUUUUUCUUGAGUGAUUGAGAGGCAGGCGGAAUGCCGUGUGUAGCGGUGAAAUGCGUAGAUAUAAGGAGGAACACCGGUGGCGAAGGCGGCAUGCUGGCCAUUAACUGACGCUGAAGCACGAAAGCGUGGGGAGCAAACAGGAUUAGAUACCCGAGUAGUC
rnacentral:rRNA from 1 species